rnacentral:rRNA from 1 species
GACGAACGCUGGCGGCGUGCCUAAUACAUGCAAGUAGAACGCUGAAGAGAGGAGCUUGCUCUUCUUGGAUGAGUUGCGAACGGGUGAGUAACGCGUAGGUAACCUGCCUUGUAGCGGGGGAUAACUAUUGGAAACGAUAGCUAAUACCGCAUAACAAUGGAUGACACAUGUCAUUUAUUUGAAAGGGGCAAUUGCUCCACUACAAGAUGGACCUGCGUUGUAUUAGCUAGUAGGUGAGGUAAUGGCUCACCUAGGCGACGAUACAUAGCCGACCUGAGAGGGUGAUCGGCCACACUGGGACUGAGACACGGCCCAGACUCCUACGGGAGGCAGCAGUAGGGAAUCUUCGGCAAUGGGGGCAACCCUGAACGAGCAACGCCGCGUGAGUGAAGAAGGUUUUCGGAUCGUAAAGUUCUGUUGUAAGUCAAGAACGGGUGUGAGAGUGGAAAGUUCACACUGUGACGGUAGCUUACCAGAAAGGGACGGCUAACUACGUG